GACUAUAUUUAACCCGUUCCAUUUUGUGAAUCAUACCUUCAAAUCCAACCCGAGACAUCGGCUGUGGUAUCACCUUUUGAUGAGUAAAACCCAGACAAAGGUGCUUAAGGGUGCAAAAUAAAAAACAAGGAAAAUAAAUAAAAGAACAGAAGAUUACAAAUUAGUAGUCAAAGAAAGCAAAAGGAUGUGUGUUUACAAACCAAUCAUGGGCAUGCCAUGAUCCAACCUAUUAUAACGGAACUUGCAGGAAUCCCUGAUCUUUAGCUUGAGCCAUCGUAAUCCCUUUCAGCCUUGUCACCAUACUAUAUAUAUGUCCUUGAUUCCAUUAUGUUGCACCAUCUCAUAUAAGUCCUCUCUCUCCCUCUCCCUACGGUUAUUUAAUAUAUAAGGUUUUUAGUUUUCCUACGAAGCACCCAGCUCCGGUCUACCAAAACCGAAAAUCGACCCCAUCACAUGCAAGCUUCACCAUGACUGUCGUUUUGCUGCCAACACAUAUCGGCUUCAUAACCUAACUUGCUCACACGACUUCUACAGCCAACGCUGCUAGAACACCCUCAAAGCCGUUGCUUGCCCCCACAUUCUCGCUUCUCCUAUCUAUUUUACGGUCCGCAUUUAGAGAUACAAAGUUCAAGGGAUGGAAAUCUGAUGGUUUGUAACUUUGAAUGUUUUUAGAUGGAUUGAGGUUUAUAAGGAUCUAUGGAGCAAACUUUAAAUGACGUAUUAUUAAACAUCAUCAAUUUAGAAGAGCUAUCAACUGCGUUUUUCUUAGCUUUAAAAAUUGUGAGAUGGAAAUAUGAGUUGUUCGUAGGUUGUAUAAUGGACUCCUCAGCUGAAUCCAUGGAUGUUGACUCUUCUUUUGUCGCUCCGUCGUCAUCGACUCCGCCUGUCCCUAUGGACACAGACACACAACCCAGAUCUUCAUUUGUUCCAUGAAACAUCUGAUGACCAUGAUGGUCAAGGAGCUUCUGCGGGCGAUACCUCAUCGGCUGCUAGGCAGGGGUCGGGUGGUUCAAACACCCUGCCAAGUGACCACCUCUCCAUCUUUGAACCAGUACAACCUGAUGUGGCUCCAGUUGAAUCCGAGUCGGUCACUAGGCCGAGGGCUGAACAGUUGCAGGGAGGGGAGCCCCAGGGCCAAGAGGAUCAGGAGGCUGAAGGGGGCGGACCUCAGGAGACUGAGGUGGCUGAAGGCGGUGGACCGCAAGACGCUGAGGUGACCGGCGAGGAGCAGGAGGUUGGCGGGGAGGCUGGGGAUGAGGACGCUGGGGAGCAACAGGGGGUUGGCUUGGAUGUUGGGGAUGAGGACGCUGGGGAGUAGCAGGAGGUUGGCGUGGAUGCUGAGGAUGAGGAUGCUGGGGAGCAGCAGGAGGUUGGCGGGGAUGCUGGGGAGGAGGACGCUAAUGAUCAGGAGGUUGGUGGGGAAGCUGGCGGGAAUGCUGCAGGUGCAAGUGUCAAGCGCAACAAACGCAAAAGAGGUGAUGAUGAUGUAGGAGGACCGUCGGGCGGCAAGAUUGUCACACCCCAACCGAUGGCAGAAACAUCGGGGCGCGACACUAGGCAAGCCAGAUUGCUCAAGAGAAUCCAUAACAACUAUUAAAUGACAAUAUUUAAAAGGUUCAUUGUCCCAUAACAAUAAACAAAUAUUUCACAAACAGUCAUCACAGAGUUCAAAUCUCUUAAACAAAACCAAUCCGACAACCUAGAUUUUUAUUUGCGGGUUUCUAAACUUCCUAAUCCAUUGCAGUUCUGCCUAACGAUGAGGCGGGUCAGAACUUUGAUGCUGGAAACGAUGACGACGUUGGAAACGACAAUUAUGAAGUAGGAAACAAUAUUAAUGGUGAGGACGUAGAGGAUGUAAAUGUGGACGAUCCAGAACAGGUUGACCACAAUCAAGAAGCUUUGAAUGUGGAAGUGGAAGUUGUUUUCGUUAAUCCAGAAAUAUGUGAUAUAGAGCAGGUUGACCACAAUGAAGAGGCUGUGAACGUGGAACUGGAUGUUAUCCUUGUUGAUCAAGCUGAUCAGGAGCAGGUUGCUAAUAUUGGUCGUGGUGGGGGAGAUGAGGAGCAGGUUGCUAAUAUUGGUCAAGGUGGGGCUAGGUUGCUAAUAUUGGUCAAGGUGGGGCUGAUGAGGAGCAUGUUGCUAAUCUGGAUUCGGAGUAGCGUCAGGUAGGCGGCGAAAUAGGGCCGCUUGCUGGGAAACGCAAGAGGGAUGAUGGGGGCCAUGAGCCGGAUAAAUGGAAAAACUAGCUUUGACAUCUAAAAGUUAAAAAUCCUUAGGGAUUGGGGUGAUUUUUUUUUCAUAAAGUCUACAAGAACUUUGUAGCCAUAGAAAAAUACUAUCUGUUGAAACUCAAUUAAAUCAAAGUCAUAUAAACAGAAACCCUUUAACACAACCCCUUUUUAUUUAAA